AGCCAACCCUCUCACGCCUCUGAAUCGAUCAUAAGAGCACCACCGAAGACGAUAAGAUGAGGACAGUCGUCAGGAGUCGUGCUUCUCUCCUCCUUACACUCGUCAUCGUCGUCUUCCUCGUCACAGUGAGAGGGGAGACGACCCCUGUGAAGGAAGCGAACCCGCAUAUUCCAUACCAUGCCCUGCGUCCUAGCAGUCAGCCCGCGCGCCCCGGAACACCCUAUACGAGGGGAUGCAGGAACAAUGGCUACUGUCGUCCGCCUUCGUCCCCAUGAUAGGCUACUUCGGCAGCAUGGAGGAGUAGCUCCUUUGACGACGCAAAAGGAUAUAUAUAUAUAUAUAUAUAUAUAUAUAUAUAUAUAUAUAUAUAUAUAUAUAUAUGGCUUAGUUGAUUGGUGUCUUAGGUGAUGCGCAUGGGGCUCAAACACUUAUAUCGACUUCAGUGUGUUUUGACUAAA